AUUGGCCAGAGCGCACAGCCAAGGAGCGGGGCUGCCCGGGUCAGCGAGCCCCGGAGCCACACUGGGCGUCCCCGAGCGCCGAAGGGGACCCCGCGGCUCCCACAGAGCGGGACCCGCUUCACUGUCCCCCCGUUGGGCCUGGGCCAGGUGGGCGCGAGUUGGAGCUAGCAACAUUGACUGAGAACUCCGGGUCUCCGGGACCCACUUCCCCGCACAGCCCGUUUCACAGAUGGAGACUGAAGCCGGGAGGUCUGCACUCGCCGAGUCGAAGCCAUGAGGAGCCCCAUGCCUUGUCCACUCCCGCCCCGCCCCUGUGUUGGGGCCCAGUGCACCCGAGGCCUGAUCCUGCCUGAUCCGGAGGUGUCUCUAAUGGACUGAUCGCUCUGUGUGGCUGUCUUUUCCACUGGUCACCUCCCAGAAGGGCCAGCCCGGGGCCCUGGGGUCGCUCUGCUGGGCUCCUCACCUCGAGGGGGCUGAACUGGCCCCCUCCACACCUGCCAGGUCUCUGCGAGGACCGCCCUGGAGCAAGUCAGCCUUGUCAUACGGACACCACCAGCCAGUGAGUGGGACCCCACAGACCCUGCUCCACACACUGUCCCUGGCCAGUGUCCUGAGGAGCAUGAACACCUCCCGCUCCUUCUGCCCUUCAAACUGAGGCCUGCCAGCCACGGGCCUGGGCCAGCAUCCAUGUAGAUGCUGGGAGACCACCCCACCACCACCACCCCCUGUCAGAAGAGCCCUAGCACUCAGAGAGGCUGAGCUGGGUCUAGCUGCCACCCCGGCCCGGGACCCGACCACCCUCACCCCCAAAUGCUAAAGAAGUUGCCACAUAGGCAUGCACACACAAGAAAGCAGGAAGCACAGCCCAAGCCUCCAGCAGCAACUUGGCCUAGGCCUCCCAGGUGAAGCCCUGCUGAGUUGGCCUGGACCCUGGGUGUCUAUAGGGGCCCUUGGGAAGGAAGGGGGCCCCCAUGGGGUAUCAGAUGGUACCCCCAACUGCCUGCACCAACAACACUCACUGGCUUCCUCACGGCUGGAGGUGGAAGGUACACCAGCAUGGGAGGGCAUCUGAGGGAGUGCAGGGCAGAGCUGCAGAAGGGAAUCCCUCACCCGUGCUGGUAGUUCCAACCUCUGGGGUGGGGCACCUCCCUCCUCUGCCUCAGACCAUUUAGACCCACACCCUGCCCUGCGUGGGCCCCUUCUGCCACCACCUGGAUGCCCUACCCAUCUUCAUGAGGCUUGGGAGCUAGUGCCCAGGGACCAAAGAUUCCUGUUAGGUAGGAGCUGUGCAACCCUCGAGCCCCGACCCCCCCACUCCUGCCCCCACCCACCCCAAAAUGGAAGAGCUCAGAGCGGCCCAAAAAGGGAGACAGAUGUGGGUUGGCUGGGGUCUUCCGGCCUGCUCCCAGCCUCCCUCAGACUAGCGCUGGGUCUUCUCUGAGCUCUGCAACCGGGGAGAGCCCCCACCCAGUGAUCUGAGGGAGUGCCUGGGAUCCACCCUUGCUCCCCAAGAAGGAAAGGGACACCAAGGCUCCAUCUGGGAGGGCUGGGGGUGUUUAUCCAGAGAUACUGGGGUCCUGCAGGAGCCCCGAGGAGGGAGAGGACAGUUCCCCAGACCCAGGGCCCCUCAGGCAUGGUCUUCUAUGGGUGUGGGCCCCAGGGCCAGCCUGGCUGCUCACCCAGAGCUAAAAUGUGGACUCCCCCCUCCCAGGGACACUGGGGGCAGGCUGAUCAGGCACCGGCUUGCCAGCCCCCGCCCCCACUCCAGCAGGGCUCCAGGGAGUGUGCUUUGACUGGGGAAGUGGAGGAAGACCAAAGCGGAGUGGCAGAGUGAUGGCCUCUGUGUGUCACCCUGCGUGGGAAACCACCUGCUGACAGUCAGCGGAAGGGCAGAUCAGGCUCCCCCCAGGGCCUCCCGUGGACCAGGGCCCUGCAGGGGAGGGCCAGGAACCUCCACAACCUGAGACCCUCAGCCUUCCAGACCCCAGGCUCCCCCUGGGUGCUUCAGUCCACUUUCCAGGGCCAGGAGCCCUGAGCACAGCAGGGAAGGAGUGGGUGCAAUUCUAUGGUGCAGGGGAGGGGUGGAGAAGGCCAGGGACACCCACCCCAAGUCUGACUCCGAUGGCUGGUCCCUGCAGUGGCCCUGGGCUAGCCCCCCAAGUGAAGCUCCCCUUUUCUGAAAGGGAGGGGGUGGGUGACCCGGGGAGGUGCAGCCACCCCUGGCGAGGUGGGGGGGAUGCUCUCCCUCAUGACCCAAACUGCUUCUGGCCCUGCCCUUCCCCACGGUCCACCACGCCCCUGCCGGUGCCCCCACCUGCUCCAUCUCCUGGAUUCUCAUUCUUCCAGUUGUUCCAAAUCAUAGCUGCAGGUCCCAUCAGGCCCUAGAACGUGCUCUGAGGGGCCUCCAGGCCUGCCUGCACCCUCUCCCCGGCUGCUGCAGCUCCUGGGUGGGGACUGUGCCCCACCCUUCCCAAGGAGAGAAGAUGGAUAUGGAGCAGGAGUGUCUACUGGACCCAUCACCUUCUCAGAGUCUGAUCUCCAUUUUCCACCCAGAUGGUGGAUGGGAGCCAGGCUCCGCCGUGCCACUGUCUCUGAAAAUGAUCUUGGAAACCUGGAGAGACUUCAGAGGGUCUCAGUGGCAGCCCCCCGGGGAGGAUGGUGGGACAGGCCUCCUGCUCCUAUGCAGGGCCAGAUCUUGGGCAUCAGGGAACCUUCCAGGGUCUGAUAGGGCCAUGCAGAGGCCCCAUCCUUGAGCCCUGGGCACCCCCACUGGGCUCCAGGCCCCAGCCGGGCCAUUCAUCCUGCCCCUGGACUGCCUGUGCCACCCAGCAUCGGCUGCCAGCACCCUGUGGACGGGUUCGGGGCCAGCACAGGCUGGGUCGGUUGAAGAAAGCCGAGUCAUGGGACGGACAUUCUGGCUGAGCCUGGGCCCCCCUGCCCUGGGGUCCGGCUCCUGACCCCCCCGUCCUUAGGGACCUGGAGGCAGGCAGGACUGUCGCAGCCGGUCCUCACUCACACCACAGCUGGGCCACACCUCCCAUGAUUCAGGGUGGAGAGGCCGCCUUUCCGGAAGACUGAGGCCAGCGGUACACAGGCCUCUCCCCAAGGUAGGCCACUCCCCUUCCUCCCUGCUUGCCCCUCGGCUUUUCCUCCAAGUCAGUUCACG